AUCUCUCUGUCAAGCUCACAAGGUCGCUCUCACGCGUCAACCUUCUCCCCCGGUCAACUCCUGCUCCCUCGGUUCGGUCUCCGUCAUCGGAUUCUCUCUUCCAUAGAUCAGUUCUCCGUCUCUAGCUAAAUGUCGCUGAAAACAGAGCUCUUCCGGCGCCGUUAGAGCUUGUGUUGCCGUGGAACAGAAGACACGAACUGCUAUCAUCAGAAUUGGCACACAUGGAAGUCCGUUAGCACUUGCUCAAGCGUACGAGACACGAGCAAAGCUCCAGUCAAAACACCCUGAACUCACUGAAGACGGAGCUAUCCACAUCGAGAUAAUCAAAACCACUGCUGACAAGAUCCUCUCUCAGCCGCUUGCUGAUAUUGGUGGGAAAGGGCUUUUCACCAAAGAGAUUGACGAGGCUUUAAUAAACGGUCAUAUUUGUCUGACUGCAGCUUCGUUAGCUGAGCUUCCAGCUGUAAGCGUUGUGGGAACAGCUUCUCUUAGGAGAAAGUCUCAGAUACUCCACAAGUAUCCUUCAUUGAGUGUUGAGGACAACUGCUAUUUCAGAGGAUUGGUUGCUUCCCCUGAUGGUACUCGAGGUAUGAGAGCACUCUAACGUGAAUACUAUUACCAUAUGAGAAACAUCAUUCAUUUUUUUUUUUUAGGAAAUCUUAAUUAAGAUACUUGCAUUGGAGCAUAUAAAUUUUCGGGUCUCUUAGCGGGGUCUCUUAACACUCAUUUAUUGUUUAAAAGUAUUAUAAAAUAACUAAGAGACCCUAAAUGAGUAUUUAGGAUAAUGAUGCUCUAAGGAUCGGUUCCGAAAAUCACAGUUUAAGAAUCAAUUAUUAGAAUUUCAUUUUCUUUUGAUUUAAUUAAAUCAUUGAAUUUGCUUAAAAACCCACUUAAGGAUCUGCAAUAAUGAUGCUCUAAGAUCUUCUUAAAUGUUUUCCAUCAUGUUUAAGUUUUUUCACAAAGAAAAAAAUGUUAAUCAUCUUUUUAAUUUUUACUGAAAAAACAUUUUUAUGUGUGUAUCGUCCCAUGUUCUAAAAAGCGGUGCCGAGGGCCGCGUAAUUGCCGGAAAGUCGCGGAGCGGGCCGGAGCCACCGGGAUUAGGCUGUAAUCGGCCAAAAAAUCAGAUGUUGUGGAAAAACUUCCUUUUUCUUCAUUUAAACUCUACAAAACGAAUAAUAUUUCAUAGAUUCAUCAAUACUUAGUA